rnacentral:rRNA from 1 species
UUCGGUUGAUCCUGCCGGAGGCUACCGCUAUUGGAGUUCGAUUAAGCCAUGCGAGUCGCGAGUCUUAGGGACUCGGCGUACCGCUCAGUAACACGUGGGUAACCUGCCCUAUGCUGGGGGAUAACCUCGGGAAACUGAGAAUAAUACCCCAUAGUUCACCACGCCUGGAACGGUGGGUGGAUGAAAGCUCCGGCGGCAUAGGAUGGGCCUGCGGCGUAUCAGGUUGUAGGGGGUGUAAUGUACCCUCUAGCCAUCUACGCGUACGGGUGUUGGGAGACAUCGCCCGGAGAUGGAUUCUGAGACACGAAUCCAGACCCUACGGGGUGCAGCAGGCGCGAAAACUUGGCAAUGCGAGCAAUCGUGACCAGGGAACUCCAAGUGCAUCGGGUAAGACCGAUGCUUUUCUUGACUCUUCAAAGGUCUUGGAAUAAGGGGUGGGUAAGGACGGUGCCAGCCGCCGCGGUAAUACCGGCGCCUCAAGUGGUAGUCGCUUUUAUUGGGCCUAAAACGUCCGUAGCCGGUUUGGUACAUUCGUGGGUAAAUCAAGGCGCUCAACGUCUUGAAUUCUGCGAGCACGGCCAGACUUGGGACCGGGUGAGGUGUGGGGUACUCUCAGGGUAGGGGUAAAAUCCUGUCAUCCUGAGAGGACCACCUGUUGCGAAGGCGCCACACUAGAACGGAUCCGACGGUCAGGGACGAAGCCUAGGGGCACGAACCGGAUUAGAUACCCGGGUAGUCCUAGGUGUAAACGCUGUGGACUUGAUGUUGGGAGUGCUCCGAGCACCCUCAGUGUCGAAGCGAAGGUGAUAAGUCCACUGCCUGGGGAGUACGGUCGCAAGGCUGAAACUUAAAGGAAUUGGCGGGGGAGCACUGCAACCUGAGGAUUGUGCGGUUUAAUUGGAUUCAACGCCGG